rnacentral:rRNA from 1 species
GACGAACGCUGGCGGCGUGCUUAACACAUGCAAGUCGAACGGAAAGGCCCUGCUUUUGUGGGGUGCUCGAGUGGCGAACGGGUGAGUAACACGUGAGUAACCUGCCCUUGACUUUGGGAUAACUUCAGGAAACUGGGGCUAAUACCGGAUAGGAGCUCCUGCUGCAUGGUGGGGGUUGGAAAGUUUCGGCGGUUGGGGGUGGACUCGCGGCUUAUCGGCUUGUUGGUGGGGUAGUGGCUUACCAAGGCUUUGACGGGUAGCCGGCCUGAGAGGGUGACCGGCCACAUUGGGACUGAGAUACGGCCCAGACUCCUACGGGAGGCAGCAGUGGGGAAUAUUGCACAAUGGGCGGAAGCCUGAUGCAGCAACGCCGCGUGCGGGAUGACGGCCUUCGGGUUGUAAACCGCUUUCGCCUGUGACGAAGCGUGAGUGACGGUAAUGGGUAAAGAAGCACCGGCUAACUACG